rnacentral:lncRNA from 1 species
UUCCCAUCCCAUUUCCAUAAUAUAAGAGUCGUAGAGGACAGGACCCACCCCAGCCUCACCCCUACUCUAUAAAUAUGCAAACUGCAUAACUUUGUUCAUCAAAAUAAAUCUAUACCUCCAAUCAAACAAUUGAUCACUGCACAAACUUUUCUCUGCUAAAUAAAUAUUUGUAUCUUACUAUUUACAUGCAAAAUGGCUCUUCAGAAGAAUACUUUUUCCUUUAUUAUUUUUAUUCUUUCUAUAGCUUCGUGUUGUAUUAGUCUUCGCGAUGAUUUACUUGAUAAUUAUCUCCAAGAAGAAUCUGGUUAUGAUUUUCAAGCUUUCCCUUCGUAUUUUAGCCCCAUUGAAGGCGUCAAGCUACAUAAUUCGGCCAAAAUAGAGACCGAAUAUUCUGAUUUCAAGAAGUCUCGAAUACUUGCAGCGUCAGCUAAGACGAUUAAUGUACAGAGGUUUGGAGCUAAAGGCGAUGGAAGAACUGAUGAUAGCAAGGUAAUUAUUCCUUAUUUAUUUCUAUAACAAAUUUUAAUGAUUUAUCGAGUUACCCAAUAACUAAAGAAAAAAUGUUUUGGCAAAUCCAUUAAUAUAAAAAAGUACUUGUGUGUUGUAAUCAGAUUUAGUUACUAAGUUUUUGUGCUAUUUUUAUAUAUUGCGGCCGAAAAGUUUUCAUCUUUCUGUUAUUAAAUUUGUUUCAGGCUUUUCAGAAAGCAUGGGAGGAAGCUUGUUCAUCCUACUCAGCUGUUAACUUUUUGGUGCCUCAGGGAAAAAAUUAUCUUCUCAAACCAAUUAAAUUCUCAGGUCCUUGUAAAUCUCAAAUAAAAAUUCAGGUGAGAAAAAAUAUACAUGGAAAAGGAUAUCUAAAAUUAAUUAUUUAACAAUCAGGAAUAUUUUAAGGAAAGUAUUUAUUAUAUAUGCAAUUAAUUAGAAAAUUAACUUGAUACAGAUUACUGGAACAUUGGUAGCUUCUGAUGAUCACUCUGACUACAGUAACGAUGGAAGGCACUGGCUUCUUUUUGACAGUGUCCAAAAUUUAAUUGUUGAAGGUGGUGGUACCAUCAAUGGUAAUGGAAAUGUGUGGUGGAAAAAUUCCUGCAAAAUAAAUAAAGCUAAGGUAUGAAUGAUUUAAUUAAAUUAAAGUUUAUUCCUGCAGCUAAUCUUUCUUUUAUCUUUAAUUAUUAGAUCACUUGCCUCUCUAUUCUAAUGCAAUUUGUAUUGUUUUUUUUGGUAUCAUGCAGCCAUGCAAGGACGCUCCAACGGUAGGUUCAUUUCUUUCUUUUGAUGAAGUUAUUUUGUGAUAGUGCAUUCAAUAUAUUUACUCUCUACACUUCUUAAGAUGAUAGCAUUUUUAUUUUAAAUACGUCUUGAAAAUUGAAAUUCAUUAAAAUUCUAGUAACAUGUAAAAGAAAAAAAAAAGAAAAAGAAAAAAUUGUUUCUAAUUUCCUGUGGCUUUUCAAAUAUCCAUUUUGGUGGAACUUAGCUCGCACGCAUCCUCUAAUUCUUGAGAUAUUUUAUGUUCUUCUUGAUGUGAGCCUACAAAAUUUACUGCAGGCCUUAACCUUCUACAAGUGCAGAAACUUGGUAGUGAAGAACUUGAAGAUAAAAGAUUCUCCACAAAUUCACCUGUCUUUUGAAAAUUGCAUGAAUGUUGAAGCAUCAAAUCUUGUGGUGAAUGCUCCAGAGAAAAGUCCCAAUACUGAUGGAAUCCAUGUUACUAGAACUCAAAACAUUCAAAUUUCCCAUUGUAAUAUAGGAACAGGUAAAUCAUUAUUUAAUCAAAAUUAAGUUACAUUUUUAUUACAGAUACAGUCACAAUUUUCUCAUAUUAAUUUUGUUCGGUGCAGAAGCUACAUAUUUAAUAAAUUUAGAAUUUUAUUGAUUGAACUUUGACGGAUUACAAGAGUAGCUACAACUAACUCUUUUUAAUUUAUUUUCCUCAAACCACUCGUGAGUUUUCUGCACAAUUUGCCUCUAUUUACAAUUCUUGAGAUGCUAGCUAGGAAGAUUACAAGUCAGUCAAGAAAUAAUUAAAUUAACAUUUAAACUUGAUGUUUAAUUUUAGCCUUUUGGUUCCCUCAAGUCUCCUUUCAAUGUGUAAACUUCAAUUUACCAGGCCUUAAUUUAAAUGUUUUUAUCUUCAAUACUUUUAAUAUACUUGGAAAUGCAAAUGAAUUAAUCUGGAGUUUUAACAAAUUUGUCCAGGUGAUGACUGCAUUUCAAUAGUAAGUGGAUCGAAAAAGGUCCUUGCGACGGACAUAAUUUGUGNACAAUUUUCUCAUAUUAAUUUUGUUCGGUGCAGAAGCUACAUAUUUAAUAAAUUUAGAAUUUUAUUGAUUGAACUUUGACGGAUUACAAGAGUUGCUACAACUAACUCUUUUUAAUUUAUUUUCCUCACACCACUCGUGAGUUUUAUGCACAAUUUACCUCUAUUUACAAUUCUUGAGAAGCUGGCUAGGAAGAUUACAAGUCAGUCAAGAAAUAAUUAAAUUAAAAUUUAAACUUGAUGUUUAAGUUUAACCAUUUGGUUCCCUCAAGACUCCUUUCAAUGUGUACACUUCAAUUUACCAAGCCUUAAUUUAAAUGCUUUUAUCUUCAAUACUUUUAAUAUAAUUGGAUGAUGCAAAUGAAUUAAUCUGGACUUCUAACAAAUUUGUCCAGGUGAUGACUGCAUUUCAAUAGUAAGUGGAUCGAAAAAAGUCCUUGCGAUGGACAUAAUUUGUGGACCUGGCCAUGGAAUCAGGUUUAAAGCAUCAAAGUUUUCAAUACAAAAAUGUUAAAUUUCACUGCGUAAUUGUUUUUAAUUUUUUGAUGUUUCUUGAAUGGCUUUGAUCAGCAUCGGAAGCUUAGGAUCUAGAAAUUCAGAAGAUUAUGUCUCAGAUGUCGUGUUGAAUCGAGCAAAGCUUUCUGGAACAACAAAUGGGGUCAGAAUUAAAACCUGGCAGGUAAAUUUUAGUUGGUAACAUAGACUCUAAAUUCUCUCUUUCGUAGUAAGUUUUUGUAAAAUUUCUAAUUUUUCAAUUCAAAAUCAAUUGUCUCUAACUCUAUGUUAAUUGAUAUGCACAGGGCGGAUCUGGAAGUGCAAGUAACAUCAAAUUUCAAAAUGUGGAGAUGCAUAAUGUAAAGAACCCUAUAAUCAUAGACCAAAGCUACUGCGAUCAAUCUAAACCGUGUAAAGAACAGGUAAAAGACGAAACUUACACAUUGAUAAGGCUAAACGGAGAUAAUGAAUUAAUGUCAAUUUUUAUGAUACAAAUAUGUUUUUGUAUUUAUUUCAGAGUUCAGCUGUGCAAGUAAAAAAUGUUGUGUAUCAAAACAUUAAGGGAACAAGUGCUUCGAAUGUAGCAAUUGAUUUUGAUUGCAGUAAGAAGUAUCCAUGCCAAGGGAUUGUGUUACAUGAUGUGAAUUUGGUAGCGGAAGGAGGUGGAUCAGCUAAAGCCAAAUGCAACAAUAUCAAUUUGAAGAAUAUCGGAACUGUUACGCCCCGGUGCUCUUAGACAAGUAAUGUAACAUAAAUGCAGGACACAUUAGGGUUUUGUAAAUUAUAGACAUACAGUCCAAUACAUUGCACGUCUUCGUCCUCUAUAUAUUAGAUCGCAUGGAAUUCAAGAAGGUUCUUGCAGUCAUGGCUACUUGAAUAUUUCGAUGAGGUAUGACAAAAGUUUAUUAAGUUCCUUCUGGCCUCCUAGGAAAAGGGUGUUCUUGAAACAUGCAUUUUUAGAAUUAAAUUAUGAUUUAGGAACCUAAUUAAUAUUUAAUUUUGGAGGCAAUGUUAGAAAUACAUAAAUUUGCUUUAUAAGUUACUAAUCCUGAUUUUCAUUUUAUAUUUCUGCAAUUUUCAGGUUUUAUGGGUAGUCUGGACUGCAAACAGCACUCUUUGGUUUUCAUGGAUUCUUUGUAGGGAUAGCACUAUUGAUGUAUAUAGAUCUGAAAAAUAAAAUUCAUUCAAUAUCCGUUUGAAGAAAAAUAAGGUCGAUUGCCACCUAAAGGAUAAUAUAUAUCCCUCCUUGUUAGAAGUGUAAUAAUCUUCGCUUGUGUCUCAUGAAUGAAAAAAACACAUGAUUCUGAUGUUUGUAUGUUGGAGAAUGUUUGCAUUUUCUUCUCCACGAAUUUAUUGAUCUCUUUUCCCUCAACCAUUUAAUUUCUUUUAGC